AAGGGAAGGCAGCUCAGACGAGGGUGGAUCAGGGAUGCAUCCCUGUGCUGGCGACACCCCAAAGCAGUCCCUCAGCUGCGCCUCUUCCUCGCUCUGUGCACCUCCCAUCAGGCUGCCUCCUGCCUGAAGCUGGGUCUGUCGUGGGGCCUCACAGAAGGGAUGUGAUAAGAGUAUUAAGGGCGCAGGCUCGCGGGCUUCAAAUUCUGGCUUGAUGGCUUCCUUGCUGUGCCGUCUUGGGCAAGGCACUUCCCACCCCGGGCCUCAGCUUUCUUGCACAGACAGGGACACCAGUUUGAAGACGGAAUGAGAAAUGCCCGGAAAAUGGACAACACCGUCCCCGAGGUGCAGCAGGUACUGGACACAGGUCGGCUGUCAUCUGUCAUCUGUCACUGUCCAGGAAAAGGAAGCAGCUGGCCGGGUUCCCAGGCUUGGGCACCAGGGACCGAGAAAGGCCUGUGGCGGCAGGAGGCCAGACAGGAAGGAGAGGGUCUGGAGGAUUAAGGACCAGAUCUGAGCCUCAGAUGCCUCGCAGAGCCCCAGGCGGGACUGAACUCAGCGGCCGGAUGAGCCGGCUCAUGGGGUAGGGGGAGACCUUGGAUCAGCAAAAUAAUGCUGGACAAGGGACCCGAUCCACCCCCUCCCACCUGCCACACCUGUCUCCGUUCAUGACCAUGAUUUUCCAGAUGACAUCGUCACAGAGGUGGGCAGUCUGGGACAGGAGGAUGGAGUUGAUGAGCCCUCACAAGUGGCUCUCCUCAUAAAUUUUUGGCAAUUAUUUUUAUGGAGAGCAUGGAUCAGACCCUGAGACAUCCCAUCAGCGAUGGCCUCUUGACCAAGCCCUCACCAAUCAUCAAUUGCUGGGGAAAUGCGGACCCAUGUGUUUAAAAGUCUCACCCAGCACAAGCCACAGACAAGGAGAGAGUAUUUUCCAAACACAUGGCUGAGAACAGUCUGUACCCAGAACCUAGGAAGAAGUCUCAAAACUCAAUAAUAACAAAAGAACCUGAUUAAAACAGACAGGAUGCCAAAGAAGAAAGGAAUAGCCAGUAAACGCGUGAAAAGAUGCUCAGCGUUUAGUUAUCAGGGAAAUGCAAAAUAAAACCACAGUGAGAUACCACUUCACCCCCCACAAAGAUGGGAAAAUUACUAACAAUACCAAGUUCUGGGGAGGAUGAGGAGCAUCCGGAGCACCCAUGUGAUCUGGUCAUUUCACUCCAAAGUAUUUACCCAAGAGAGAAGAAAGCAUAUGUCCGUAGAAAUACGUGUGCAUGAAUGUUCAGCCUUAUUUGUAAAAACUGGCGCUGGAAACAAAUGGAUAAACAAAUUGUGGUCUAUUCAUACAAUGGAACACUCUUCAGCAAUAAAAAGGAAUGAUUUUUGAUAUAUACAAUAUUGAUGAAGAAGCUAAACAAGUCAGAGCACAAGUUAGAGAACAUUCUGGAAAAUGAGAACUAAUCAGUAGGAACAGAAAGCAGACUAAUUAUUGCCUAGGGCAGGGGAGGAGGUGAGGCAGGGAGAAAUGGGAGGGAGAGAUUCUCAAAGGGCAGGGGAGCUAUUUGAAGGUGAGGAGUAUUACAACACACUGAAUGGGUACUCCAGAAAUUCAUGUGUUAAAACCUGACCCGAGGGCGCCUGGGUGGCUCAGUCAGUUAAG